rnacentral:rRNA from 1 species
UACGUAGGCAGCGAGCGUUGUUCGGAGUUACUGGGCGUAAAGGGUGUGUAGGCGGUUGUUUAAGUUUGGUGUGAAAUCUCCCGGCUCAACUGGGAGGGUGCGCCGAAUACUGAAUGACUAGAGUGCGGGAGAGGAAAGUGGAAUUCCUGGUGUAGCGGUGAAAUGCGUAGAUAUUGGGAGGAACACCAGUGGCGAAGGCGGCUCACUGGACCGGAACUGACGCUGAGGCGCGAAAGCGUGGGGAGCAAACGGG